ACUCAGAGACAAAUAUGGAAACUCAGAAGC
rnacentral:piRNA from 1 species